CCAUCUCGUGAAGUCCGAGGAGGCGCUGGGCGCGAUGCUGUUGUCCGAGAUCAACGUCGCCUAUUAUCAAAGCCUGAUGAGCGGCGCCCGCGCCGCAAUUGCGGCCGGGACGUUCGACGAUUACCGCGCGUCAUGGGCGCGGGGCGAUGUCGCGCCGCGCUAGGCUACGGGUCUGGCGUUUAGUUGCAGACGAUUUUCGUUGAAUGCGUUGAGUGCUUCGUGACGAAGCCGUAUCCGCAAUUG
rnacentral:misc_RNA from 1 species